AUGUGCUUGCCCCAGACAGUGGCACUAUUGGAAGAUAGGGCCCUGUUGGAGUAGGUGUGUCACUGUGGAUGUGGGCUUUAAGACCCUCAUCCUAGGUGCCUUCCUGGAAGUCAGCAUUCUGCUAGCAGCCUCCAGAUGAAGAUGUAGACCUCUCAGCUCCUCCAGCACCAUUGCCUGCCUGGAUGCUGCCAUGUUCCCACCUUGAUGAUAAUGGACUGAAUCUCUGAACCUGUAAGCCAGCCCCAGUGAAAUGUCCUUAUCAGAGUUGCCUUGGUCAUGGUAUCUGUUCACAGCAGUAAAACCCUAACUAAGACAGUCUCCAAACACAGAUGGGGCAGGACAACCCCACCUGAUUUGCAGUAACACCAGUCACAGGGCUCUGCCCAAGCUGUGGACACUUUUGGGUUGAUUGCCCUACUCUACCUGCUCAAAAUAAGGUCAACACCCCGCAUUCCUUUUCCACAGGAAAAGCUGUCAGACUUGGGUCUGCCAGGCGAAGACCUACGUUGCCCUGUGUGACAGCUGAAGACCUGUCACUGCCCCCACAAAGCCAUCAAGACCACAGGAAUCUAGGACAACCAUCCAGGUAGUAGCCUUAAUCCGUGGUUUGAUCCGUUGUCUUCCCAGGUAAGCAUUCCCUUAUAUAAAUAUAACAGACUUUACUAAUUAUCCGCUGGUAAAUAUUUAGGCUGCUUCUAACUUGGAGCUCCUGUGACUAGCCUGCUAGCAUGAACGCUUAGAACUAUAUCUUUGUAUGGGAAGAUGUUUUACUUCAUUGCGCGAGUACCAGAGUUGCUAGUUCACAUGAUAAAUGAACUGCUUUAAAAAUAUUAGUUCUCUAUGUCUGGAAAGGGCAACAGAUGAGAAGAGCGUUUUCUUCAAAUAUGAGUUUGUUACAGUGGGUAGGGAAGAGGGGAGGGCAAGCCUGACUACAUGAAUCCAAAUGGAAAAGCACCAGGGUUGCUCAGAAGACUGGCUUAGCUGGGGACAGAGCGCAGGAAUUCUCUUUGUGUUUUCAACAAGAAUGUUCAGGUCAGGGGGGUUGGGGAUUUGGCUCAGUGGUAGAGCGCUUACCUAGGAAGCGCAAGGUCCUGGGUUCGGUCCCCAGCCCCAUAAAAAAAAAAAUGUUCAGGUCAAGGAGGAUAAGCAGAUUUAAGAUUGGCUGGCUGAUUUGAAUAAUUUCAGCCAAAUCUGAGUGUACAAGGGCUGCCUGUAGUUAUCUGAUAUCCAGCACUGAGGUAGUGGGCAGGGGACUAUGGUUCCUUGUGAUCGCUCAAUCACACAAUAAGGCUUCGUAGGUGCAUAGUCUUAAUAAUGAAGUAACGGCUGAUUCUACCAGAAUUGUAUUAGGGUUUUGGUUUCAGCCUGAAACUCACUCACUAUGUAGCUGAGGAUAACCUUGAAUUUCUGAUCCUUCUUGUCAGUAAUCAAGCAUUUCCACUGGCCUGCCCUCAGAGGGAUCUAUCUGUCUGUCUAUCUAUCUAUCUAUCUAUCUAUCUAUCUAUCUAUCAUCUAUCUAUCUAUCUAUCUAUCUAUCUAUCUAUCUAUCUAUCUCCAUAUCCAUAUCUAUAUCUAUAUGUAUCAUUCCCUGACUUGUUCAUUCUCCCUGUCAUGACCAAGGCAACUCUCAUAAAGAACAUGUAAUUGGUGCCUGGCUUACAGUUUCAGAACUUCAGUCCAUUAUCGUCUUGGCAGGAAGCACAGCAGCGUGCAAGCAGACGUGGUGCAGGAGGAGCUAAGUUCUACAUUUUGAUACAAAGGCAGCCAAAGGAGACUGGAAUUCCACACUGGAUGGAGCUCAAGCAUACGAGACCUCAAAGCCCACCCCCACAGUGACACACUUCCUCCAGCAAGACCACAUGCCCUCCAAUAAGGCCACACCUCCUCAUAGUGCCACUUCCCAUGGGCCAAGCAUUCAAACACACAUGUCUAUGGGGACCAUUCCUAUUCAAACCACCACACUCUCUCUACCUCAUACCCCAUCUCUUGGACAGCCUUUUGCUCUCAUCCUUUCUUACCCUAUGUCUGCUGUGUGGCAUGAUUUCUUAGUGCAUGGCUUUGCCAAAGGUACCCCCACCUUGUCUGCUUUUUAUAUCAGUUCUACCUCUGUCUCCAGGAGGUGCUGGGACUGCUGGUGUACACUACUAGGUCAAGUCUGUGUAGUGCUAAGGCUGGGAACCCAGAACUUUGUAAACGUUAGACAAGUGCUCCACCAAUGAGCCGCAUUCCUGCUUCUACCAUUACUGUUCUUGGAGAGGGAGAAGAGGGUUAGCAUCUGUUGAUAGGAUGUUGACGGUUUCAGACGGAUAAUUCACUAAAUAACAUGUAAGAGAAUUAGUGAUAAAAUGUGAAAUAUAUGCCAGGUAUUAAAAAAAAAUAACAAAUUUAAAACGAGGUCCAAAUAGUUGCUUUGGCAGAACAGGGGACAGACGUGUUUUCACUAAAUUUUUUCAGUCAUAUUUUGAGUGCCUAUUAUCUGCUAAGUAUAUGUCCCCAGCCCACAAGUGUAAGCAAAGGGUGUUGGGUGUACCUAGAAGAGAAUGGGGGACAAGAGACACAAAGAAGGACGCCAAGACAAGAGUCUGAUCAAGGCGACAAUUUUAUUUUUCCCCAAGGCUGAAUUUAUACCAUAACAUGGGUAACAGGGAGGGGGGAAGUAAGAGACAUUUACACAGGCCAAAGACACAAUAUUCGUGUGGUCAGGGAAUCGGCUGAUGUUGACAGGAUGUCAGAAAGGUCACAGGUUUGUCAUAUCUAUUGGUCAGCAGGAUGUUGGUUUUUCAGAAAGGUUACAGGUCAUCACAUUGGGUAUCUUGACGUCAGACGUCAUCAUAUGAUUAUUCAUCUUGACCACCACAUUUGUAUUAGUCUUCUGCAGCUGGCUGGGGAUUUUCCAUGAACCCAGUCAUACUUAAUUCUAACCAUAAUAAUAACAUCAACAAUGGAGGGCUUCAAGGCAUCACUCCCAACAUCUCCCCCUUCCUUAUAGUCAAAUGAAAAGGUGGCCAAAUGGCUGUGCUGUCCUGGAAUGAGCCCCCCGGGAACUGCAUCUGUCUUAGGUUGGAGUGAUAUAUGUCACAUGGCCAAAAGAAUCUUGUGGCCAGGGUCCGUCACCGGGAUAAGGCAGCAGCUAAUGGCGGCCCUCCUGUCUUAGGCCCUUUAUUCAUGAAUAUAUCACUCUUACCCGUCAUUGACUAUUCAGCUCAGCACGCAGGGGUAACAAUUCAUUGAUUUUUCAGCAAAGACAUCAGGACAACAGGCAGAAAAGAAUGUUGGCCUCUUUUGGCUCAAGGACAAAAGGCCCCACUAUCAGAGCUCUCUCUCCCAAAGAGAUGCAUGCAGGUAUGUAAGAUCCUCUCUUGUUUCCCUGCAGGGGUCUGCUCUGCCCAUCACUGCUUCUUCAAUUUCACCAUCAGCCAAUCUAGCCCUCUCUGCAGGUGUCUUUCCUUUGCCUGACAACCACGUGCAAGGACUCCCAGCUUGGCAAACUGACCAGCCGACUUUGGCUCCUUUCCCUGGAUUCUGAGCUCAUUCCUUGGCCCGGAGCUUCACUGGAUGCUCUCCACUGCUAAUGAGCCCUCUUUAGGCUUCCUUCCAGGACCUCCCGCAUGUGGCACUUGUUGGAUACCUUUGUGUAAUGCAGCUCGAGCACACGGGGCCAGCCCCGAUGCAGUAGAGACCUUUAGGGGUCAGAAGUACAAAUAACUUGAACACAGAGGGGGAAUAGUCAAAAAGGUGAUGCCAAUGGCUAAUGGCAGGGCCAUUAUUGACACGGGGAAGUACAUGGCGAUGUACACUCGUGAGGUUUAUAGAACUAACAGUAAAGCAUAGGGAAGAUUAAUCAUGAUGUAGAAAUAUUUCAGUAUACGGAGAAAGGCUUUGGAGUUAGCCCAUACCAGGCUGCUGUGCUGGCUCUCUGUCAUUGCAUGAAGGGCUUGAACAAGUGACUUGAUCUCAGGUUUAUGAGCCUCAGUUUUGUCAUCUGAAAAACAGGGUUAUAGGACUGGCUCAGCAGUUAAGAGCACUUGCUGCUCUUUGAGAAGGCCUGGGUUUAAUUCUCAGCACCCACAUGGUGGCUUAUAAACUAUUUGUCAUUCCAGUUCUAGGGGAGCCAAUGACGUCUCUUGGCCUUCCAUAGGCUCUAGACAUGCAUGUGUUGUACAGACAUGCAUGCGGACAAAGUACCUAUACAUAUAAAAUAAAUGUGUGUAUAUUAUG